ACACUGCUUUAUAGAAGUACUGAUAGACC
rnacentral:sRNA from 1 species